CUAACACAUGCAAGUCGGACGGUAGCACAGAGAGCUUGCUCUUGGGUGACGAGUGGCGGACGGGUGAGUAAUGUCUGGGGAUCUGCCCGAUAGAGGGGGAUAACCACUGGAAACGGUGGCUAAUACCGCAUAACGUCGCAAGACCAAAGAGGGGGACCUUCGGGCCUCUCACUAUCGGAUGAACCCAGAUGGGAUUAGCUAGUAGGCGGGGUAAUGGCCCACCUAGGCGACGAUCCCUAGCUGGUCUGAGAGGAUGACCAGCCACACUGGAACUGAGACACGGUCCAGACUCAUACGGGAGGCAGCAGUGGGGAAUAUUGCACAAUGGGCGCAAGCCUGAUGCAGCCAUGCCGCGUGUAUGAAGAAGGCCUUCGGGUUGUAAAGUACUUUCAGCGGGGAGGAAGGCGGUGAGGUUAAUAACCUCGCCGAUUGACGUUACCCGCAGAAGAAGCACCGGCUAACUCCGUGCCAGCAGCCGCGGUAAUACGGAGGGUGCAAGCGUUAAUCGGAAUUACUGGGCGUAAAGCGCACGCAGGCGGUCUGUUAAGUCAGAUGUGAAAUCCCCGGGCUUAACCUGGGAACUGCAUUUGAAACUGGCAGGCUUGAGUCUCGUAGAGGGGGGUAGAAUUCCAGGUGUAGCGGUGAAAUGCGUAGAGAUCUGGAGGAAUACCGGUGGCGAAGGCGGCCCCUGGACGAAGACUGACGCUCAGGUGCGAA
rnacentral:rRNA from 1 species